rnacentral:rRNA from 1 species
CAGCAGCCACGGGAAUACGUAGGUGGCGAGCGUUGUCCGGAAUCAUUGGGCGUAAAGGGAGCGCAGGCGGGCAUGUAAGUCUUUCUUAAAAGUUCGGGGCUCAACCCCGUGAUGGGAAAGAAACUACAUGUCUUGAGUACAGGAGAGGAAAGCGGAAUUCCCAGUGUAGCGGUGAAAUGCGUAGAUAUUGGGAGGAACACCAGUGGCGAAGGCGGCUUUCUGGACUGCAACUGACGCUGAGGCUCGAAAGCCAGGGGAGCGAACGGGAUUAGAUACCCCAGUAGUCCCUGUCUCUUAUACA